UAGGCUGAAACUCGCCUACCAUAAAGCUGGAGUUACUGUAAUCGCAGAUCAGAAUGCUGCGGUGAAUGCGUUCCCGGGUCUUGUACACACCGCCCGUCACACCACGGAAGUUGGGGCGCCCGAAGCCACUUACCUAACCCUUUUGGGAAGCGAGUGUCGAAGGUGAAAUCAAUAACUGGGGUGAAGUCGUAACAAGGUACC
rnacentral:rRNA from 1 species